UUAGUGUUGAUACAACACCUCCCUUUGUCAU
rnacentral:piRNA from 1 species